GUGGCAGGUCUGGUGUUUGGAUCCAUGAAGUCUGUUUCCUGAGUCUGCACUGUUCACAGUAUGCGAUCUAUGUAAUACCGCUCCUUAUGUACAUUGUAUAAUAAUAGCUCCCUGGGAAUGUAUGUGUGAAGUUCCCAUUUGGAAGGCUGGCAUCGUAGUACUGCACUGAUGGACCUCAGAGAGAAGAAUGCCUUUCCUUUUCUCUAGGUAUGUUUCUGUUUGUUUUCAGCGUAGGUAUUCCUAAAAGUAUGAGGUUAUCAUCAUGGGCUCUGAAUCCAGACUCUCUCUUCCAUUGUUUAAUAACUGUAUAAACUGUGUUUUAGUCUCUGGAAGAGGGAAUACUAAUAAUAUUUAGUCCAUAGCUUUGUUAAUAGGAUUAAAUUGGCUAAUAUAGGUCAGGUGUACUUGCAAGCACUUAAACUUUCCAUUCGUUAUUAUAAGCUAUUACUAUUAAGGAUCAUGCCAGUAAAUCCUCACCAAAAUUGACUUCAUUAUUUUGGCAUAAUGUUAUUGUAGACUAUUAUCUUUGAUUCCGGGAGUAAGGCUAAGUUGUCAUUUGAAUGAGAUAAGGACCUCGAAAUCAGUUGUAAAGACAAUCUUGGCCGGGCGCGGUGGCUCACACCUGUAAUCCCAGCACUUUGGGAGGCCAGGGUGGGCAGAUCACGAGGUCAGGAGAUUGAGACCAUCCUGGCUAACAUGGAGAAACCCAUCUCUACUAAAAAAAAAAAAAAAAAAAAAAAAUACAAACAAAAACAUUAGCCAGGCGUGGUGGCAGGUGCCUGUAGUCCCAGCUACUUGGGAGGCUGAGGCCGGAGAAUGGCGUGAACCUGGGAGGCAGAGGUUGCAGUGAGCCGAGAUCGGGCCACUGCACUCCAGCCUGGGCAACAGAGCAAGACUCCGUCUCAAAAAAAAAAAAAAAAAAAGACAAAAUGUUUUAAUGAGGAGAUAAAAAUCACUGAACCAGCCUGUUGUUUUUAUAUUGGAUCAGUAUAGCUUUGUACCGUACCUGGAAAUAAAAAUAAAAAUUUUUCCUGAGUAAAUUAAUAAGAUGUAGGAAAGAUAUUAAGGUUUAUUUUUAAGUAAGCUCUAAAUAGAAAUGAUAAUCUGAUUAUAAAAAGAAGAAUAUGAAAAAUAUUUAAUAUGCUAGUGCUCUGACUCAAAAAUUAAAACCUACAUUUUUUCUUUAUUAUUUGUUUUUUGAGACAGAGUCUCGCUCUAUCACCCAGGCUGGAGUGCAGUGGCACGAUCUCAGCUCACUGCAAGCUCUGCCUCCUGGGUUCACACCAUUCUCCUGCCUCAGCUUCCCGAGUAGCUGCGACUACAGGUGCCUGCCACCACACCCGGCUAAUUUUUUUUUUUGUAUUUUUAGUAGAGACAGGGUUUCACUGUGUUAGCCAGGAUAGUCUUGAUCUCCUGACCUCAUGAUCCGCCCGCCUCAGCCUCCCAAAGUGCUGGGAUUACAGGCGUGAGCCACUGCACCUGGCUAAAACCUACAUUUUUUUCAAUUCUCUUUUUAACAUUUGAAAAUUUUGCUUAAUCUAAAAUAUACUCCAGAAGUUUAAAUGGAAAGACCUUAAUAAAAUAUUCAGUCAAAUGCUCUUCCUUUAGAAAUGGAGGUACUGAAGUUCAUUUCUCCUAUCAUUCUAAAUUGAUGUUUCAUUUUGACUAUAUAUUUAGUGAGUUAUGGCAGUAAAAGCAGCUUUAAUUUUUUUUCUGAAAGCCUACUCAUAUUGGAGCCCUUUAUAACUUGCCUCUUGAAGUAUAUAUAUUUAUUCAUACAAAUCAAACACUGAUGUCUGUGAAGUUUCAUAUCAUCUUUUAUAUUUGAAUUUUGUUCAUAUACUUAUUGUCACCCAGGCUGGAAGUACAGUGGUGUAAUCUCAGCUCACUGCAACCUCUGCCUCCUGGGUUCAAGUGAUUCUCCUGCCUCAGCCUCCCGAGUAGCUGGGAUUACAGGCAUGUGCCACCAUGCUGGCUAAUUUUUCUAUUUUUAGUAGAGAUGGGGUUUCGCCAUGUUGGCCAGGCUGGUCUGGAACUCCUGACCUCAAGUGAUCUGCCCACCUCAGCCUCCCAAAGUGCUGGGAUUACAGGCAUGAGCCACCAAGUUUUUAAUUGAUGGCAUUUUAAAGAAUACCUCAUAUUUUAUACUUUCCAGACAUUUUCCCCACUUAUAUGAAAUUUAAAAUGAGAGUAUAGCUGUUAUUUGUUACUUGGUCAUAAAGGUAUUUGGAAAAGCACUGAUCUUAGAAUUUUAAUAAAAGGCAUUUAUUACCAAAAAAAAAAAAACACUGGAUAUAUUGACCUUAAAAUGAGUAAUUAGUAUUUUCCAGUAAAGCAUUUUGGAUUCAACAUAGACUAUGCUUCACCCUACCUCACUUCUAUUAGAAAACCUUUUUUAAAAAGAAAUUUUCUUUUUGUCAGCUUUAGUAAAUAAUGUCAUUCAGGAUUCCUAUUCACAAUCUGAGAUCUGCCACUUAACUUGCUCAGAAGCCUUACAGUCCACACCAUUUGUUCUAUCCUUUCAA
rnacentral:lncRNA from 1 species